rnacentral:ribozyme from 1 species
ACCCGACUGGGCGGGUAUAAAUAGCCGUCAAGCCCAGUGCGUUACCCACUCUUUGAGUGGGUAGGUCGGA